rnacentral:lncRNA from 1 species
UAGGCCGCGCGAAUCGAUCCCCCCACCACCAGAUUUGUGCGCGGCUGUGUAGUGUUCAUGGGCUUCGGUGUAAUGGCCGCAUCUCGCUGCUGUAUGUCUUGGCCUUGACUGUUGUUUGGAUGUAGUUCUGAGAUGGAAUUGAAAUUGAAGCAGCUUACCCUUGAAUUCUUCUCCAAUCUCUCACUCUGUUGAUGCUGAUUUGUGUGAGCAGUUAGAAAUUACUAAUUUCCCACUCUGUAAUUUACCCCUGAAUUACUAGUUUACCCUUGAAUUCUUCUGCAAUCUCUCACUCUGUUGAUGUUGAUUUGUGUCUCUCGCUCUGUAAUUUGCUGCCUCCCAAAAUCAACCGUGUGGGCUUCAGUGUACGGUUGAUUCAAACCGUCGCUGCAUUUUUGUAGCUUGCGUUUUCUCCGAUUCCACGGCUUGUCCUGAACAUUUUCUGUACCCCGUCAGUUGAACCAAGUUUCAG